GACGAACGCUGGCGGCGUGCUUAACACAUGCAAGUCGAACGAUGAAGCCGGAGCUUGCUCCGGUGGAUUAGUGGCGAACGGGUGAGUAACACGUGAGCAAUCUGCCCUUGACUCUGGGAUAACUGCGGGAAACUGUAGCUAAUACCGGAUACGACACCUUGGGGCAUCCCAGGCUGUGGAAAGAAUUUCGGUCAAGGAUUGGCUCGAGGCCUAUCAGGUAGUUGGUGAGGGAAUGGCUCACCAAGGCCACGACGGGUAGCCGGCCCGAGAGGGUGACCGGCCACACUGGAACUGAGACACGGUCCAGACUCCUACGGGAGGCAGCAGUGGGGAAUAUUGCACAAUGGGCGAAAGCCUGAUGCAGCAACGCCGCGUGAGGGAUGAAGGCCUUCGGGUUGUAAACCUCUUUUAGCAGGGAAGAAGCGAAAGUGACGGUACCUGCAGAAAAAGCACCGGCUAACUACGUGCCAGCAGCCGCAGUAA
rnacentral:rRNA from 1 species